AAUUUAAGGCUAAAACAUAAUAAGAAUUCGAAUCGAUUUCCAUAUGCAGGAGACUUACGGUGUUAAGACGAUACCGAUCUUGUGAAUUUUUCCCAAGUCUCCGCAAACUAAUCUCAAAUUAUUCUAUAGCCCAAAACUUUCAACAAAAAUGCAAUUUUUUUUUAGAAAGAAAACAAAAACAAAACAAAACAAAGAACAAAAACAAAGAAAAUAAAGUAUUCCCUCCCCCACACUUAAAAUAUGCAUUGUCCUCAAUGAAA
rnacentral:lncRNA from 1 species